ensembl:lncRNA
AUUUGCUGUUACAAUUGAGGGAGAUGUAUUUGAUGGUACAACUCUCCUCAGCAUGUUUUGAUUCUGGCCAUUGUUUUGAAGAAAAUUUUCCAUCAGCAUGUUUCCAUUACUUUUGUGCCUCAUAUUGUGGUUCACUGUUGAGCUUCUAGGCAUAUAAUUAGUUGGAAUAUUUUCCUUCAAAUAAGGUUCAUUGAGUCCUAAUGGUUGUGAACUGCCUGAGUGCAUUUCUGAUUUAGAAAUAUGUUGAUGUCCAAAUGAGCCUGAUCUAUGCACAUAUGCUGCAUGCAUUCCACCUUUUUUCCUCACCAGCCUUGGGGCCAAAUUAAUAUUACUAGAGCUAAUUUGGCUCCCUUUAACGUCUAAAGUAUUUUGUUCCUGCUGGACUGUUUGGGAAGCAUAGCUUCUUUUGGCAUCAAUUUCAUCAUUAAAUUUGGCGCUUGAUAAUUCAACAGGUUUAUUUCUGAUAUUGGACUGGACUUUAUGUGGGACUGAAUAGACUGAGUUGACAUCAUUUCUCUGGUUGUAUGAGGCAGAGCUGAUCCACGGCAGCUGAUAUUUGCUGUUAAACUGUUCUCUGUUGCUUUGAAGACUGCCUCUUAUUGGAUUUUGAAUGGGUGGAUUAACACUUUUGAAACUUUCCAGAGCUUGUAUUUUGAUCUUUGAAUCAUCCGUGACAUCUCCUAAAGGCAUUGGUGAUGAACCAACAAUGUAUUUAGCUAUUUUAUAAAUGCAUAUGGCAGCAAAUUUAAAGCCUAUUUAUUUGUACACAUUAUGCAGAAUAUAUGAAAAAGGACAAUAACACAGUUUUGACUACUUUUGUCACAUGCAGCUGUUCUAAAUACUCAGACUAAAAACUACACCUUACCUAUUGAUACUUCAGGCAAACAUCCCACAACAGAAAGAGCCAAACCAACCAGAGCCAGUCUAUAAAAAAUUAGUCCGUUUUAAAAUUACAAUAAAUUAUUACAAAAAAGGAAUAAAGUAUAAGAAUGGUAUUGCUAAAUUGAAGGCCUGAAUUCUUACCUCAGAUAGUAUUGAAGAGACAUGUUUUAAGGACUAAUGCACUUGUGCUUACGUUCCACACAAUGCUUUUUGUUACACCUGGUCCAAAUUACCCUAUUAAUUUGGGCUCACUGAACCGCUAAUAUUGUUGAUCAGCAUGAUGGUGAUCGCUGACGAGGUUCACCUGAAUGUGUUCAAAGCUAAGAACAUAAAACUUUGCACAUACACAAUCUUAAAUACUUAAUGUGUUCUUAAAGUAUGAUGAAAAUUUGUGACUCUGCCUCGGAGUAAAAAAAAAAAAAAAAAAAGAGAGUGUGCUAAACUUGUCAUAAAAAUUAUAAAAACAUUUAUUUGGUACAAACAUAGCAUACAGUCAUUCUAUAUUUUCUUCUUAAAAAAAGUAAAAUACUUAUAAAUACAUAUAAAAUUACUUUGUGAUCAUGAAAAGACAAAUACAAUUAGGUCUCUUUCAUUUGAUACAAACGUAACACUGAAAAACUUAUAAUUAAACUUAAUAGACAAUAAAUACAAGUAAUAUUUCAUAGAAAUUCUUCAAAAUCAUUAAGUUACAAUAAUUUAAAAAGGAGAUAUGGGUUGAGUAUUCUCCAUGAUUUUGUAACAGAAAAGAAACAGCACCAAAAAUAUACUGGCCUAAAACAAAUAAUCUGUAAGGCAGUGUGGUUCAUAAAAAAAAGAAAAGAAGGGGAAAUCAAAAGACAUGUUUUUGUUGUGUUGUUUAUAGGUUUCCAUUGUGGACUGCCAUCCAUAACCUCGAGGCAGGGCCGGGACACCCUCAAACACUGGAGGGGACACACCCACCCAAAUGUUCCGUUCGUCUGUUUUUCAGUAGAUGAUUCUUAAAUGAUUACAUCUGCUCCCUUAAAUCACGCGUGGUUACAUCUUUUGGCGUUCAGAUGAUCUGAGUGACACUUCUGGAAAUCUUGUCUUUCACAUCAUGUAGCAAGACAUCAUUGCCAGGUCCCUCAAGUCUUCAUCAGUCAUACAGUCUGAAAACACAGAUGACACAUGUUAAUUAGUUCUUUAAGGACUCUAUUCGUGUAUUAAAGCCAUUCAAACGCACGUGCAAAAUACUCACUUCUCCGUGCAUCCCCGGUGAAUUUCUGGCACAGGCGACUCAAACGUUUCAUCAGGCGUCUUUUUCGCGAUCUUGGCGGGGGUGAUACUUCUUCUUUUGGUGGGGUGACCGUGUCCCGUUUGGGCUCCUCGGUGUCUUCGUCGUCAUCCGCACAUUCCUCCGCGCAGCCCUCGGUGACAAGCCGCUCAAAAACGUCCUCGUCUACCGGCAGGGUCUCUUGGAUCCUCGCCUCCGACAGCGGCGUGGAGUGACGGCACAGCGGACACAUUAUCCGGGGUUCAGGGCUCUCCGCGGAGCGCCAGAGCAUCACCAGGCAGCUCUCGCAAAACGUGUGUUUGCAGCACAGCUGUCGAGGACACCGCUGACCGAGGUUGUAAGUUCUGUAGCAGAUUCCGCACUCCGUCUCUGGAAACAUGUUGUCCUGUCGUUUGUUUGCUUCUCUCUUGUUGCGAACUCUUAAAGUGGUUGGUAGUAAAGUGCCGGUGAUUCAUGCUGAGGAGUCUUAUAUAGUCUAGUUGGUGAAGGCGGAUCGGAUGAACGUACGUAGAAGGGAGGUGUUUUGAUUUCCUUUCGUUCUCAGCCAGACUGUCUUUAGCAACAGGACUAGCAAUUUUAAACAAGUGACGUCAUCGUCUGUAAACACUGUGAUGUCAUGCAUGACUAAACAGCACCAGAAGUUAAAUCAUAUUGGCCUACGUGUCUUACUGUACUUCUACUUCUACUUUUUUUUUUUUUUAAGGUUUAAUAGAUAGGCUACAGUAAAUGUUUGUAUUGAGAAAACCAAAGCAGGAAUUCCCCAUGCACUGUUUUUGCCAAGUAUGUUAGAUUUUGGGAAAAUGUGCCUGUGUGCGUGUGCGGGGGAGUCAUUGAAUUUACUGAUAUGCAGGACUAUUAUGGUAAAUCUAGUAAAUCAAUGUCAAGUGACGCCCGGUUUAUUUGAAUUCACCCCUGUUUUUA